rnacentral:lncRNA from 1 species
GGAGAUUCCAGGCAGAGGAAACUGCUUGGGGUAAAGAAAACAAAAAACGCAACCCCCCCAGCAUGGUGCGUACUGGAGAUGAGAAAAUGGAGGUACCAAAAAGUGGGCUCUGAACUGCAGAGCCUGGCUCCAGAGCCCUUGUAUUUGACUACUGGGAUCCACCGUUAUUCUCACAGCCGCGUUUCCCACAGGGCUGCUUUGUAUGGCCUCUUAGAAAAGUCCUGCCUGUCUCCACCAUCCAGACUAUGAUGUCCGUGAGGUCAGAGGAAAGGGAGAAUGUCUCACAUACAGAAAAUGCUUGAUCAACAUUGAUGGAAUCAUAAAUGGGCCUCAGCGGCACCUGUCCUGAGUCAGCAUCUCACAGAGGUUUUGCCAGCGCCAGCCACAUCUCCAGCAUGAAGGUGAUUGUCUGAGUGUGUCCAGUCCAGUUCCUGCCUUAAUAAAAAUCACUGCUGCAAGGGAGAGGGCUGCCAAGGCCCUGCCUCCCUCCAACCCCA